CUAAGUUCAAAGAAAAACAAACUGUAGACAUACGAAAUUACCGCGUUGUCGACUGUGAUAUAGUGAAGUGUUUUUAUUACAUCUGCACCACCCUUGAAUGUAGGCCUAUAUAAAUAAAUAAAAACGAGUUGAUGAGCGUUCGAGAAUGACAAUACUUAUGAGUGCUAUUUCUUGUAAUAUCUAGCUAUUAAUGAGUAAACCAUAAUAGCCAUACACGAUUUUAUUGUAAUUUUACCUUUUGAAUCGAGUGCAUAUAACAUAAAAAAAUACAUAUUCCAUAUAAAAGCCUUAACCUCGUUAAAUACCCCACUUGUUAUACUAUAUGUGUCCUGUGUUUUUUUUUUUUUUUUCCUCGCUGAAGCACAGCUGGAAGUGGCCAUUGCACAGUCACCUCUAAAUAGCAUAUCGGUUUCCAAGGAUACCCGGGAGUAGCAUUUAAAUGACGUCAGUAUUCAUUGAUAGAGUAUUAUCGGCAGUAAUGAGUUCCUCUUCACCAAUAGGAUUCGAUAAGCAGUCUGUUUAGCGAUAGUGGAGUGGUGAAUGAAAGAAAGCUUGGAAAGAGAAAUGCAGCAGGGACUAGUCACACUCUACAAGCGCUGCAUGGCAUAAAGAGAACACACUGAGUCCCAGAGCUGUUUAAGACCGAGACUCAGGAUUUAAGCUUGUGGUGCGGUCCACCUGGGAGCCCUAGAUGAGUAUUUAAUUCUUCGACUGUGCAUGUGAGCCAGGAAAAGAGCGACUUUGAUAGACUCCAUUACCCAAGCCAUUGUCACAUAGACAUGGACCACUAAUGGGCAUAUCUAUAUUGGGAUGUUUUGUAUCGGACUACUAAA
ensembl:lncRNA